rnacentral:lncRNA from 12 species
GAAGACAAACACCAGGUCCCCUUCCAAAGAGAGGAGAUGGUGACAUGUUAUGGGGUUGAGUGUACCACAUGUGCAUUCUCAGGUUUCUUGAUCGACCUCUCCAGUGAACUACCCACAGCCUCUGAUUCACCAGAUCACAGUCAUCAAAAGUGCCGGUCGAACUAUAAGAUGUAUCCACUAGAAUGUUGGGAGGACAGCUGUGCCAGGAACAGUGGCUGA